UUUUAUUCCUCCACCAGUUCUAGAAUUAUAGGGGCCAUAAUUUGAUUUUUGCGUAUCUGAAUUAUAUGAUUUUUGCAUAGUGCAGCUUUAAAAACAAAAAAGUCCGGAGGCGUUCCCAGCUAGCACAUUUGGUUCCUUGGAAGUUGUGGGAACGUAUGUUUUUUGCUUCGCGUUGGUUGUGGGAACGACGUCAUGCAUUUCCUGACUAAAAAAUAUAUAGGUUUUACCAAACAUUCUGAGAACAGAAGUGAACAUUUUGUCUGGGACUUAUUUUUUUCAGUUGCAGGAACGUUUUACUCUGGUUCCUUGAAAGUUUUCCUUGGAGGUUUUAUUAGCGCUCUGAGAACAGGUUCCUAUGGGGAGGGAGAGACAGGCCAGUACGUGGAGUGGCUGAGGGACUACUGCCAGGCCUUCUUUGGGCUGAUGGUUAAGCUAUUGCCUCCGGUGACCACUGCCGCCAUGGUCUGUGCAUUCAGGGUCAACUGCAGUUCACGCAACCUACAGAUCCACACAGGUGGCAACACACAUCUCUGUGUGCCUGGCAGACAUCUCAGCUUGGAUGUCAGCCCACAACCUUAAGCUCAACCUCGAAAAAAUGGAGCUGCUCUUCCUCUCGGGAAAGGCCUGCCCACUCCAAGACCUUUCCACCACGGUUGAUAACUCCACAGUGAUGGGGAAACAAAGCUUCCUGAAGCGUUGAGGUUUUCCAGCCAAGUGUGUCAAAAAGGUUCAUUACUCAAGGCUUUAAUCAAUCAACACAGUGUACACUAGUGGCACCUGCUGGUCAAAAUAAUUUAGAGUAGCCAAAUUAUUAUAGAUGACUUACCACCACGUAGCGUGUGCGCAGCAUAGUCUUUUACCAAACCAAUACCAAUCCAAUCAGGUGGUUGUUAGACUAAACAAAGCUCCGGAUGUCAUUGAUCACGUGCUUCUGAUAAAGUGAUGCAGGCAUCGGAACACCGCUUCUAAGUACACUGCUGUGCGUGCCUUGGAGCUCCGGCAUAAGAGGUAACGUCGCUAAAUCCAUGGUGUCCCCCUUCCAGAGUGCAAAGAAACUUGGCAUGACCCUGGACAACAUCCUUUAGUUCUCUGCAAACAUCAAAGCAGUGAGUCACUCUUGCUGGUUAAUGCGCUACAACAGGUGUAUUCAAAUCUUACCUUACAAGGUCCUGCUCGUUUUCUUUUCUACCUGAUACUAAAUUGCACCCACCUGGUGUCCCAGGUAAAAAUAAGUCCCUGAUUAGGUGGGAACAUCAAAACCCUGCAACUUAUCCAGAAUGCCACAGCCUGCCUGGUGUUCAACCUUAAGUUCUCUCAUGUCACUCCACUCCUUCGAGGUGGAGCAAUUACAGAUCCUGGAGCAUUGACAGGU